rnacentral:rRNA from 1 species
UACGGAGGGUGCAAGCGUUAAUCGGAAUUACUGGGCGUAAAGCGUGCGUAGGUGGUUCAAUAAGUUAUCUGUGAAAUCCCUGGGCUCAACCUGGGCAGGUCAGAUAAUACUGUUGGACUCGAGUAUGGGAGAGGGUAGUGGAAUUUCCGGUGUAGCGGUGAAAUGCGUAGAGAUCGGAAGGAACACCAGUGGCGAAGGCGGCUACCUGGCCUAAUACUGACACUGAGGCACGAAAGCGUGGGGAGCAAACAGGAUUAGAUACCCUGGUAGUCCACGCUGUAAACGAUGUCAACUAGCUGUUGGUUAUAUGAAAAUAAUUAGUGGCGCAGCAAACGCGAUAAGUUGACCGCCUGGGGAGUACGGUCGCAAGAUUAAA